UCAUCUUGAUGCAGUGUGCAACAUCAACCCGAACAAAACAAGGUGCCACUUUUGCAGACUGAUUACCAACAUUUGCACGACUGGGACACUUGAGCUCUCAUUACCUGCCAGAACGCCCUGAUAUAAGAAGACAUGGCCAGACGUGCCAUUUGGUCUCUGUAGUUUCCUCACUACUGAGCCAGUUGCAUCAAAACUCACAGUGGGGGUGGCCAAAUUAGGCAGAUGGCUUGGCUCAGGAUCUCCAAAAUCCAUCAGCUUUGUUGCCUCAGAUGCCCUCCAUACAUGGGGUUCCAUUCUACCCUCACACAGUUCUUUGAAUAUCUGCACACGCAAGUUACCAGACAUCGGACACUUGGAACAGCCAGUG